rnacentral:lncRNA from 1 species
AAAGGAAGAGCUGCUUCCUGGAGGAUUUUCUGGGAAGAAGUGAUGGAAACAGUAAGAGAAACAGUGGAAGCUUUGAAAAGGAUGGUAACUGAGAAGAGUGAUCAACAUAGGCUAGGUUUUACCCUAAUGACAAACUCUCUCUUAUUACGACUUCUUAGCCUAGUUUUUUCUGAAGGGUGUACUAUGUUGUUGUUGUUGUUUUAGGAAAUAGAGAACACAGUAGGCCCAGAAGAACCUAUCCAGGGGAGUGGGAGGGUUCACCUUGUCCAACUUGGCCCCUACGGGAUCUUUGGAUUCAUCUUCUCCAGGAUUGAGGUGCUAGAUAUAUUCAUGAUGGAAUUGGAGCUGAAUCCAUUGCUCCUAAGGCAACAUAGGGAAAUGUCUGAGCCAGCUCAAGUUGACCCUUGGAAGACCCACUUCUCCCUCGGAAUUCCAAACCCAGUGGUCUGCCUUCAAGUGGGUGACUCCAUUCUUUUCCAGCUUAACAUUCUCCCCAACAAUCGCCGAGCUAGUCACUACCCAGUGUACCAGAAGCAGCAUCUGUUCAACAGCAACCCUCAAUGGGACUUUGGUGCCUUCAGGAGACUGAACUACUUGGUUCAAGAGACUCAUCUCAAUUUCUCUAGGUUUGCUCACGUGUUCAUGGACCCAGGCACAUAUGUGUUCCAGGAUAAUGGACUACCUGAGAGCAUCCUUAUUGUGCUGGUGAAAGAGGAAGGCUUGACCUGUGACCCUGGCACUUCUGCCAUCCAACCCUCCUCGCCAUAUCAACUGGCCAGACAUGGGAUCCUUAAACGUCAGUCGCUGAACUUGGCUCCUGAUUGGGCAACAAUUACUGGGGUGCUGCUGGUGAUUGGCUUAGGAACAGUGGUGCUGACUAUCCUGGCAUUUGUGCUAAAGCCCUCCUUCUCUGAGGUUUGCCCCAUGAAGGACUGGAAACCACGAUGGAGGAGCCUUGGGGAACCCCACAUCCCUCCCCAGUAUGUGCUUAUCAGAGAUAGACUUCAGUUCUAUGAUACUUUCAGCACUUGGGGUCCUGGGGAAGGACCAUCCACCAAUGAGAAGGAUAUUUUCAGAGGCUCAGGUACCAUCCCAGGGAGAACAUCUAUGCUGAAGACCCUGGAGGACUUCAGUGUCCGAACCUUGUAUGAUAAGCUAGAGGACCAAAACUUGCACCUGGCAUCACAGCUGAGCAAACAUAGGAGUGAUGCUCUUGCUUUUUACAAAGGAAUUGACCAACAGAUCCAAGGGCUAAAGGGAUUUCUACAAGAACUGAACCAUACUCAACUUCAAGGGCUAGAGAGGAGUGGAGAACCCAAAAGGGAAAGCAAUGUCAAGGUGCAGAAGGGCACUGAGCAGGGUGAAGAAUUCCCAAGAAGCCACAUUACAACCUUUCCAGAGGGAAAAUGGCAGCAUCAAUUAGGUGAGACUUUGGAGGGGGAAAAAGUGAGGGCUAU